UACGUAGGGGGCAAGCGUUGUCCGGAUUUACUGGGCGUAAAGCGCGUGUAGGCGGAAAUGCCAGUCCGGCCUGAAAGCCCUCGGCUCAACCGAGGAUCCGGGUCGGAAACUGCAUUUCUUGAGGGCGGAAGAGGCGUGUGGAAUUCCUGGUGUAGCGGUGAAAUGCGUAGAGAUCAGGAGGAACACCCAUGGCGAAGGCAGCACGCUGGUCCGACCCUGACGCUGAGACGCGAAAGCGUGGGGAGCGAACGGGAUUAGAUACCCCGGUAGUCCACGCCGUAAACGAUGGUCACUAGGUGUUUUCGGUAUCGACCCCGAAAGUGCCGCAGCUAACGCAUUAAGUGACCCGCCUGGGGAGUACGGCCGCAAGGUUGAA
rnacentral:rRNA from 1 species